GCUAAGGCCCCUAAAUAAUUGCUAAGUGAUAAAGGAAGUGGAAAUGUUUACACAACCAGGAGGUUUGCUUAUAAACAGCAAUCCUUUAAAGAGUGCGUAAUAUCUCACUGGUCUAAUGAUUCUGCGCCGAAAAUGAACGGGGCUAAUCAAUUUGCCGAAGCUGUGGGAUGUUAUUACAUCGGUAGGGGAGCGUUCUGUUAUAGAUUGAAGCACUAGCGUAAGCGGGUGUGGACUAAGCAGAAGUGAGAAUGUCGGCUUGAGUAGCGAAAACAUUGGUGAGAAUCCAAUGCCCCGAAAACCUAAAGGUUCCUUUGCGAGGUUCGUCCACGAAGGGUGAGUCAGGUCCUAAGGCAAGGCUGAAAAGCGUAGUCGAUGGGUAACAGGUUAAUAUUCCUGUACUAUUUUUUAUUGGUAACGAGGGACGGAGAAGGCUAAAUCAGCCGGAUGUUGGUUACUGGUUUAAAUUUUUGAAGGUGAUGAAAGAUGGCGAAAACAUCUUGAGCUAAAAAAUGAAUACAAGCCACUAAGGUGGUAAAGUGAUUGAUGUCAUACUUCCUAGAAAAGCUCGAAAUAUCUUAAAUAAAAAAUACCUGUACCCUAAACUGACACAAGUAGGUAAGUAGAGUAUACUAAGGGCGCGAGAUAA
rnacentral:rRNA from 1 species